UACGUAGGUGGCAAGCGUUGUCCGGAUUUAUUGGGCUUAAAGGGUGCGUAGGCGGUCUUAUAAGUCAGUGCUGAAAUAUCCCGGCUUAACCGGGAGAGUGGCAUUGAUACUGUAGGACUUGAGUAGAGUUGAGGUUGGCGGAAUUGACGGUGUAGCGGUGAAAUGCUUAGAUAUCGUCAAGAACACCGAUAGUGAAGACAGCUAACUAAGCUCAAACUGACGCUGAGGCACGAAAGUGUGGGGAUCAAACAGG
rnacentral:rRNA from 1 species